GACGAACGCUGGCGGCGCGCCUAACACAUGCAAGUCGAACGAGCGAGAGAGAGCUUGCUUUCUCGAGCGAGUGGCGAACGGGUGAGUAACGCGUGAGGAACCUGCCUCAAAGAGGGGGACAACAGUUGGAAACGACUGCUAAUACCGCAUAAGCCCACGACCCGGCAUCGGGUUGAGGGAAAAGGAGCAAUCCGCUUUGAGAUGGCCUCGCGUCCGAUUAGCUAGUUGGUGAGGUAAUGGCCCACCAAGGCAACGAUCGGUAGCCGGACUGAGAGGUUGAACGGCCACAUUGGGACUGAGACACGGCCCAGACUCCUACGGGAGGCAGCAGUGGGGAAUAUUGCACAAUGGGGGAAACCCUGAUGCAGCGACGCCGCGUGGAGGAAGAAGGUCUUCGGAUUGUAAACUCCUGUUGUUGAGGAAGAUAAUGACGGUACUCAACAAGGAAGUGAACGGCUAACACGUG
rnacentral:rRNA from 1 species